UACAGGGGGUGCAAACGUUGCUCGGAAUCAUUGGGCGUAAAGCGCACGUAGGCGGUUCGUUAUGUCGGAUGUGAAAGCCCUUGGCUUACGAGGAAGUGCAUCCGAAACUGGCGAGCUAGAGUACGAAAGAGGAUCGCGGAAUUCCCGGUGUAGAGGUGAAAUUCGUAGAUAUCGGGAGGAACACCGGUGGCGAAGGCGGCGAUCUGGGGUCGAUACUGACGCUGAGGUGCGAAAAAAAGCGUGGGGGGGGAGCAAACAGG
rnacentral:rRNA from 1 species